rnacentral:rRNA from 1 species
GACGAACGCUGGCGGCGUGCCUAAUACAUGCAAGUUGAGCGCUGAAGGUUGGUACUUGUACCAACUGGAUGAGCAGCGAACGGGUGAGUAACGCGUGGGGAAUCUGCCUUUGAGCGGGGGACAACAUUUGGAAACGAAUGCUAAUACCGCAUAAAAACUUUAAACACAAGUUUUAAGUUUGAAAGAUGCAAUUGCAUCACUCAAAGAUGAUCCCGCGUUGUAUUAGCUAGUUGGUGAGGUAAAGGCUCACCAAGGCGAUGAUACAUAGCCGACCUGAGAGGGUGGUCGGCCACAUUGGGAAUGAGACACGGCCCAAACUCCUAAGGGAGGCCGCAGUAGGGAAUCUUUGGAAAUGGACGGCAGUCUGACCGCGGAAAGCCGCGUGAGGGAAGAAGGUUUUCGGAUCGUAAAACUCUGUUGGUAGAGAAGAAAGUUGGUGAGAGUGGAAAGCUCAUCAAGUGACGGUAACUACACAGAAAGGGACGGCUAACUACGUG